rnacentral:rRNA from 1 species
GAUCCUGCCAGUAGUCAUAUGCUUGUCUCAAAGAUUAAGCCAUGCAUGUCUAAGUAUAAACCCCAGAAUGGUGAAACUGCGAAUGGCUCAUUAAAUCAGUCAUAGUUUCUUUGAGCGUAGCAAAGUUACUUGGAUAACUGUGGUAAUUCUAGAGCUAAUACAUGCAACAAGCGGCUUUUUAAGUCGUGCUUUUAUUAGACGCAAGACCAAACGGCUUCGGCCGUUAGUCUGGUGAGCUCUGAGUGACAAGGAGAUCGCAUGGCCUCGUGCCGGCGACCGCAUCUUUCAAGUGUCUGCCCUAUCAACUGUCGACGGUAGGGUAUAGGCCUACCGUGGUGGCAACGGGUGACGGGGAAUCAGGGUUCGAUUCCGGAGAGGGAGCCUGAGAAACGGCUACCACAUCCAAGGAAGGCAGCAGGCGCGCAAAUUACCCACUCCCGACACGGGGAGGUAGUGACGAUAAAUAACGAUGUAGAGCAUCUUAUGUUCUGCAAUUGGAAUGAGUACACUUUAAAUCCUUUAACGAGGAUCUAUUGGAGGGCAAGUCUGGUGCCAGCAGCCGCGGUAAUUCCAGCUCCAAUAGCGUAUAUUAAAGCUGCUGCAUUUAAAAAGCUCGUAGUUGGAUCUCGGGAGCAGAGCUGUGGUACUCUGAAAGGAUGCACUGCAGACCUGUCCAUCUAUCACUCUGCGGUUUCCUUGUGGGUGCUCUUCACUGAGUGCUCACGAAGAACCGUGACGUUUACCUUGAAAAAAUUAGAGUGCUCAACGCAAGCUUAGCUUGAAUAAUGCAGCAUGGAAUAAUGGAAUAGGACCUCAUUCUUGUUCUGUUGGUCUUAGAGACUUGAGGUAAUGAUUAAGAGGGACAGACGGGGGCAUUCGUAUUUCUGCGUUAGAGGUGAAAUUCUUGGACCGCAGAAAGACGAACUAAUGCGAAAGCAUUUGCCAAGCAUGUUUUCAUUAAUCAAGAACGAAAGUUAGAGGAUCGAAGGCGAUCAGAUACCGCCGUAGUUCUAACCAUAAACGAUGCUAAUCGGCGAUCAGCGGUCGUUGCCCAUUGACCCCGCUGGCAGCCUUGGGGAAACCAGAAUUUUUCAGUUCUGGGGGAAGUAUGGUUGCAAAGCUGGAACUUAAAGGAAUUGACGGAAGGGCACCACCAGGAGUGGAGCCUGCGGCUUAAUUUGACUCAACACGGGAAAACUCACCCGGCCCGGACACAGUGAGGAUUGACAGAUUGAGAGCUCUUUCUUGAUUCUGUGGAUGGUGGUGCAUGGCCGUUCUUAGUUGGUGGAGUGAUUUGUCUGGUUAAUUCCGAUAACGAACGAGAUCCCAUCCUGCUAAAUAGUCACUUGACCUCGGUCCAGGGUCGACUUCUUAGAGGGACAGGUGGCGUAUAGCCACACGAAAUGGAGCAAUAACAGGUCUGUGAUGCCCUUAGAUGUUCGGGGCNCACGCGCGCUACACUGAAAGAGUCAACGCGUGUCUACCCUGCGCCGAGAGGUGCGGGUAAUCGUUUCAGCCCCUUUCGUGAUGGGGAUAGGGGAUUGCAAUUUUUCCCCUUGAACGAGGAAUUCCCAGUAAGUGCGAGUCAUAAGCUUGCAUUGAUUACGUCCCUGCCCUUUGUACACACCGCCCGUCGCUACUACCGAUUGAAUGGUUUAGUGAGAUCUUCUGAUUGUGCGAGACUACAUACCUCGGUACGGCGUCUUUGCACGAAAAGUUGUUCAAACUUGAUCAUUUAGAGGAAGUAAAAGUCGUAACAAGGUUUCCGUAGUGAACCUGCAGAUGG